GGCAUUGUGGCUGAGUGGCUAGGCUAGGCCCCGCAAGGGCUUAUACAGUGGUUCGAUUCCAUUCGAUGCCU
rnacentral:tRNA from 1 species